UUAGAAGCAGCCAUCAUUUAAAGAGUGCGUAAUAGCUCACUAGUCAAGCGACUCGGCGUCGAUAAUAAUCGGGCAUAAGUUGGUUACCGAAGCUGUAGGAUUUAACGAUCGGUAGGGGAGCAUUCCAGUCAGCGCAGAAGCAGCGCCCGCGAGGGGCCGUGGAGCGGCUGGAAGCGAAAAUGUAGGCAUGAGUAACGAUAAGACGGGUGAAAAACCCGUCCACCGUAAACCCAAGGGUUCCUGAUCAACGCUAAUCGGAUCAGGGUUAGUCGAGACCUAAGGUGUACCCGGUAAGGCCGGGGAAGCCGAUGGCAAAGCGGUUAAAUAUUCCGCUACCGAAGCCAACGUAUGGCUAAGGCGUGACGCAGAAGUGACACUCCCGCGUGCAGACGAAUGCACGUUAAAGGGCGUAGGCCGGGAAGCAGGCAAAUCCGCUUCCCAUUAAGGCUGAACCCCGACAGUACUCGGAUUCUCACGAUGAAGAGAUAGUGGAGGUAAUCAUGCUGCCAAGAAAAGCGUCGUAGUUUGUUGUCUUCGCUCGUACCCCAAACCGACACAGGU
rnacentral:rRNA from 1 species